rnacentral:rRNA from 1 species
AUUGAACGCUGGCGGCAGGCCUAACACAUGCAAGUCGAACGAGUGGCGGACGGGUGAGUAAUGUCUGGGUAACUGCCUGAUGGAGGGGGAUAACUACUGGAAACGGUAGCUAAUACCGCAUACCAUCGGAUGUGCCCAGAUGGGAUUAGCUAGUAGGUGGGGUAAAGGCUCACCUAGGCGACGAUCCCUAGCGGGUCUGAGAGGAUGACACGCCAAACUGGAACUGAGACAGGGUCCAUAUGCCGAGGGGAGGGAGCAGGGGGGAAUAUUGCACAAUGGGCGCAACCCUGAUGCAGCCAUGCCGCGUGUAUGAAGAAGGCCUUCGGGUUGUAAAGUACUUUCAGCGGGGAGGCGUUACCCGCAGAAGAAGCACCGGCUAACUCCGUGCCAGCCGCGCGGUAAUUC